rnacentral:rRNA from 1 species
AACUUGCUCCACCGGAAAAAGAGGAGUGGCGAACGGGUGAGUAACACGUGGGUAACCUGCCCAUCAGAAGGGGAUAACACUUGGAAACAGGUGCUAAUACCGUAUAACAAUCGAAACCGCAUGGUUUUGAUUUGAAAGGCGCUUUCGGGUGUCGCUGAUGGAUGGACCCGCGGUGCAUUAGCUAGUUGGUGAGGUAACGGCUCACCAAGGCGACGAUGCAUAGCCGACCUGAGAGGGUGAUCGGCCACAUUGGGACUGAGACACGGCCCAAACUCCUACGGGAGGCAGCAGUAGGGAAUCUUCGGCAAUGGACGAAAGUCUGACCGAGCAACCCCGCGUGAAUGAAGAAGGUUUUCGGAUCGUAAAACUCUGUUGUUAGAGAAGAACAAGGAUGAGAGUAACUGUUCAUCCCUUGACGGUAUCUAACCAGAAAGCCACGGCUAACUACGUGCCAGCAGCCGCGGUAAUACGUAGGUGGCAAGCGUUGUCCGGAUUUAUUGGGCGUAAAGCGAGCGCAGGCGGUUUCUUAAGUCUGAUGUGAAAGCCCCCGGCUCAACCGGGGAGGGUCAUUGGAAACUGGGAGACUUGAGUGCAGAAGAGGAGAGUGGAAUUCCAUGUGUAGCGGUGAAAUGCGUAGAUAUAUGGAGGAACACCAGUGGCGAAGGCGGCUCUCUGGUCUGUAACUGACGCUGAGGCUCGAAAGCGUGGGGAGCAAACAGGAUUAGAUACCCUGGUAGUCCACGCCGUAAACGAUGAGUGCUAAGUGUUGGAGGGUUUCCGCCCUUCAGUGCUGCAGCUAACGCAUUAAGCACUCCGCCUGGGGAGUACGACCGCAAGGUUGAAACUCAAAGGAAUUGACGGGGGCCCGCACAAGCGGUGGAGCAUGUGGUUUAAUUCGAAGCAACGCGAAGAACCUUACCAGGUCUUGACAUCCUUUGACCACUCUAGAAAUAGAGCUUCCCCUUCGGGGGCAAAGUGACAGGUGGUGCAUGGUUGUCCUCACCUCGUGUCCUGGAAAUGUUGGGGUUAAGUCCCGCAACGAGCGCAACCCUUUAUUGUUAGUUGCCAUCAUUUAGUUGGGCACUCUAGCAAGACUGCCGGUGACAAACCGGAGGAAGGUGGUGGAUGACGUCAAAUCAUCAUGCCCCUUAUGACCUGGGCUACACACGUGCUACAAUGGGAAGUACAACGAGUCGCAAAGUCGCGAGGCUAAGCUAAUCUCUUAAAGCUUCUCUCAGUUCGGAUUGUAGGCUGCAACUCGCCUACAUGAAGCCGGAAUCGCUAGUAAUCGCGGAUCAGCACGCCGCGGUGAAUACGUUCCCGGGCCUUGUACACACCGCCUGUCACACCACGAGAGUU